rnacentral:rRNA from 1 species
AUGAGAGGGAUAAACGAUGUAUACCCUCCAAUCGGCCACGCGGUAGUGGUGGCGGUGGCAGCAGCCGCGGCAUCCUCGGCGGCCUUCUUGUCGGCCUCGGCCUUCUCAGCGGCGGCACGGUCGGCGUCGGUCGACAUGGUGAUGACGAAGGGUUUCACAGCUGGCCGAGCAUCUAUUGGCAUCAAAAGGAUGGGCAUGCUUGACCAGGAAUCACUUGAAAAGGCUUUCCAACAGAAACUGAUGUCAGAGCAUGAUGCUGCCUUAUUUUGUGCAAAAUGGGAGGCUGAGAUGGGAAAUCCAGAUUGGCACCCUCUUAGAGUUACCAUAGUUGAUGGAAAAGAAAUGGCUUUCGGCUUUGCAAAUGUUUCCCUGGAAAUUCUCAACGAGGACGACGAGAAGCUUAGGGCUCUGAAAGAAGAAAAUGGCGAACAGAUCUAUGGUGUGGUGACAAAGGCCCUGCUCGAACUCAACGAGCACAAUCCCAGGGGCCGCCAUCCUGUUAACGAGCUGUGGAACUACAAGGAGGACCGGAAAGCCACCCUGGAAGAAGCUGUUGAGCACCUCCUGAAGCAGUGGCUGGUGGACAGGAGCAUCCUCAAGAGGAAGCGCACUGAAGAAGAUGCUGGAAGCACUUAA